AGUUGUCGUAACGGCCAUAGCAGAAGCACUAGCAUUGCGGCCCUGUCAGAUUUUAAUGAAUCGGUGAAUUCUGCU
rnacentral:ribozyme from 1 species